UGAACCGAGUACUGGGGCCAACGGGGAAGCACACCGGAAGGGACUUGUCAGGACGAUUUGGAAAGAGGAAAGGAAGAGGCGGAGCAAUGAACCAUGGCAGCUAUGGUAGCUUUUUGUGGUGGUCUAGGGAGGAGAAAGUUGAAGCACUUCGUGACGGCUGCUGUCUGCCUCACAGAUUCUGGAACUCAUUCAGUGCUGUGGAGAAGUUGUUCACAAUAUAAACAGGUAACCAGCAAUGAGGACCUGCCUGUUCCAAUGGAAAAUCCUUAUAAGGAGCCUCUGAAAAAAUGUAUCUUGUGUGGAAAACGUGUAGAUUAUAAGAAUGUACAGGUCUCUGUGGGAAGAAACAAAAAGAAAUCACAAAAGCAAUUAAGAGAGCUCAAAUAAUGGGAACCAGUACUCAGAGAAAAGGCUGAUUUCGAAAGCUGGAGCAAGAGAAAAUACAAGAUGAGGCUGAAACAUUUAUUUGGUGCUGGAAAAUAAAGAUGGACUCAAAGAAUGAGAGAGAACAUCAUUCACAUGAGAAUUUCAUCUCCUGCUUUUAUGGAAAAGAAGGGAACAGGAUCUGAUAUUUUUCACGUCCUUUUAACUCAGAAUAAUCCGUAUGCCAAGAUGGCAUAUUUUGGAGUGGCAUAUUCUGCCACCCUUCACAGGCAAAAGCAAAACAUAACAAGACAAAACAAAAUAAAACAAAAAACGAAAGACUUACUGUUUCAGCUGCCAAGGUUUCUCUUGGCUCCAGGAAGCCACCUUUCUAGGGUGGUUGACAUCUAACUGAUCGGGCACGGCUAUAAAGGCCUGGCCAUUUUGGCCCAAUGAGGGACAACUCUUGUGGGUCAUAAAUGCCCCAGGGCUCCCUGUAGAUUUGGUUUGGCUGAGGCUUUGCCAGGCUUGCAUGGCUGUUGGAUUGCACCUUCUGCCUAAUCUUACUCCCCCACACCACCCCUCAGCCUCCCAGGUGUUGGUGUCACUGAACCAAACUUGGGUCCACUCAUCUAACAUGCAGCAAAGUCAACCUACUGGCAGUGGGUUGUGGUGAAAGAAAGUGCAGCAUUUUUUGCAGGACACCAAGCAGAGAUAAUUGAAAAGCUAGGGUUCAAAAGACUCAAGGAAAGGAUUUUUAACGGUAACAAUUUUUAAAGGAUUUCUAGGGGUGAGGGUCACAGGGUAUCUGAUCAGCUUGUGGGCAUUCUUCUGAUUAAUUGGUGAUGAAGUAACAGGGUGAUGUUUUGGGAAACUUUGUUUUUUUAAAUUAAUUUAUUUGUUGGUUACUUUGGGUCUUCAUUGCUGUGCGUGGGCUUUCUCUGGCAUGGGCUUUCUCUAGUUGCGGAGAGUGGGGGCUACUCUUCUUUGUGGUGUGCUGGCUUCUCAUUGAGGUGGCUUCUCUUAUUGCAGAGCACAGGCUCUAGGCUUCAGUAGUUGUGGCUUGUAGGCUCUGGAGCGCAGGCCCAGUAGUUGUGGUGCACGGAGUUAGUUGCUCUGCAGCCUGUGGGAUCUUCCCAGACCAGGGAUCGAACCCGUGUCCCCUGCAAUGGCAGGCAGAUUCUUAACCACUGUGCCACCACGGAAGUCCCAGGGGGAUCUCAAUCAUGAGUCUUCUGCUUUCAAUCAGUCUGGGGUCUACAUGCUUGUGGUUAGCUUGUAAUCACCAUCCUCCACGGAGGGGGGUCUUAGUCUCUGCAGAACAAUUCAAAGAUAUGCCUUAGAUUAUUAUCUAUAUCCCUCCAGGAGGAGCUGGGAGUCCUGUGACUCUGCCUUAUGACUGAACUGUUGUUUCUUGACUGCUUUUCUUCUGUUUCUGU